UCACUUUGUAAGGGAAAUGAUACUACAUGGUAUGGUACAAACAAAUCAUGUGUCUACCAAGGAGCAACUUGCAGACAUUCUUACAAAAAUCCUUGCAAAAACACAACAAAUUAUAGGGGUUUUAUAAAAGCUUUCCCGAUUUUACACUUUGACCCUUAAACUUUUGUAGUUUUGCCUGAACCACCGCGGCCGCGGUUACGACUGCGGCUCCAACCUCGGAGCCCUCUGUUUCCAACCACAUCGCGGACCACGUAAAUCCCUAGAAAGAGCUUUUGUCUCUGCAUCACUUCUCUCAUUUGCUCUUUUGCAUUUGGGUGCUUCUUGAGUGGGUGAUUUCUUCACGUUUUUGCCUCCAAACACUUCCUUUUUGCUUCCUCACAUCUUGUAUUCCCUGCGAAACCAAAUAGCAUCAAUAAAAUCAUUUCAAUGGAACUUACACUACAAAACAACAACAAAGCAUGGGUAAUUAUGGCGUAAACAACAACUAUUUAGCCUAUUAUCAGUCGCCAGCCCGUGAUAGAUAGAGUAUUAGCUUCUUCUUCUCUUUCUUUUUGUUUUGAUUCCAUCUUAUGACUUUACUUGAUUGUAAUGGCCAGGGAGGGCACGUCACGUCAGGGAGCAGUUGGCCUUUCACCGACCGGAUGUGAUUGCUCGACCUGCUACAGCACCGAUACAAGCCAAGUGCCGAGGGCAAUGUCGAUUGAGUCAUCAGCGGCCCCUUCUUCGACACGGGCUGUUCUUCGAGAUGAAGGGCCGCUGGGGGUUGUUCGCCCUCAAGCGGAGUCACCAUUGAAUGGGGAGGAAGAGAGGCCAUUGCAGAGGCAGAGGGUGGUAUUCACGCCAGCUCCCACGAUAAUUAAUUUGGACUCCCCCCCCCCCCAUCGGAUUCAGAGUGAAGUGAGUUUGCGGUGCCCAACAUUAAGGGUGGGCGAACAGUAGGGGUUGCCCCGGUUAACUUAAGACAGGAUGGUGCUGACGCUUCGUCGACUCAGUUGGAUAUUUUAGUCGUUGAGGUGGAAGGUUGUUCCUCAGCGACUGUUGUUGGUUUAAGUGCCCCUUCGACGGCUACGGCGGGUUCUUCCACCUCGUUGGUGGCGGAAGGGGGAAGGAAUGUGGUAGAGGGCUAGUAUCAAUCUGAAUUAACCUGUAUCUCGAUGACUUCCAUAUAUUUCAAGAAGGUUUCACCAAUUCAACAAUGCGUGUGGAGGGGCAGGCUCGCUUUAUCGAGGUUCCCACGGAGUUGAAUUUACUACUCCAAGGGAAUAGCUUGGUGCUGCAGUUUGAGCUUCUUUGCUUAGAGAUUGAAAACGCGUCCUUGAGGGAUGACUCAGGUAUCGGGGUGAUGAAUGAAGUAGCCGUGAUGGGCCUGAGGGUAUGUAAUACGACUUUGGUUUUUUUUUCUUCUCUGCCUUAGUUCAUUCUUUAUUUUAAUUGUUGCCUUUGUUUUGUAGACUUACUUGUUGGAGGUGGAGAGCAUCCGUCGAGCCAACGUUCACUCGAGGAUUUUUUUGCAGGUGCUGGGGAAGUAUCUUCACUACCAUCACCGGUGUCGAGAGAUGCAUGAGCGUUUGAGGAGCGAUCCCCGCAACUGGGCUCUGAGUCGCUCGACAAUCUUUCUGCAGAGCUGGAGAAGUAUCGUCGCUACCAUGAUCGGUGCCGAGAGAUGCGUGAGCAUUUGAGGAACGAGCCCCGCAACCGGGCUCUGGGUGAGGAGUUGGCGAGCCAGGACAACAACUGCAGCAGGCACUUGACAGCAGAAGUGCUUUGGAGGAGCAGCUCCGUCGGAAGGAUGAGGAGCUCGAGGUAGGAAAGAGGGUUGCAGCUGAGUGUGAGCACCUGCAGAGCAAGUUGAGGGAAAUGCAGUCGGAGGAGAUGUAGAGCCAGAUCAAGGCGGCGGAGGCCACUGCGGCAUGGAGCGGGAAAGUGGCGGUGUUGAAGGGUGAAGUUACUACUUUGAAACUUCAGGCAAGGGCUGCCGCGGUAAGGGUUGGAGGAAGCGAUCCGUGUUUAUGAGUCUCAGCGGGAGUCUGAGAGGGCUACGGUGGCUGAUAGAGAAGCACGGCUUGAGGAGCGGAUCAACAUUCUCGAGUUGGAGACCCAAGUUAUGGCGGACCAAAUUGCGGCCUUUGAAGGAGAGAAUCAACGGAUAUGGGACCAAGCUGCUGCUUCCAGCCAGGCUCGUGAGCUUUCGGUCUACGCUGAGGCCCAACGUGACAUUUAUAAGAACUUGUGAAAGAACGGUACCGUGACCGAAGCCGCUUUUGAGGUGGCGCAUCAGAAAGCUCGUGUGGUCGUACCACUUAUCAAUUUUAAAUUAUUGAGGAUAUGUCUAGUUUCGUAAUUAACAUUUGGUCGUAUUCUGACCCAUACAGUUUUGUCCCCCUCAAACUAAUAUACGUUUGAGGGAUGAGCAGGAUGCCGCUUAAUUAUCGUGCUGCACUUGAAUAUAUGGUUCUGUUGGUUUUAAGCAUGCAAAAAGGAAACCUUAAGCUUGACAGUAUGUUAAAUGCAGUAGAAAUACCUACUUCGCAGAUGAUUAAAUUCUUCGUUUUUGCUUUUAUCCUUCAGGUUUUGGCAUAGGAGAUUUCACUGUACUUCAACUAUACAAUCUCUGUAGAUUCUCUUGGCCGGGAUGCCUGGAGGUUGAAAAAUACAGUGAGAGAAGCGGCUUGCUCUGUCCCUGAAAGAUGCCAGCCUUUUUGUUUAGUUGAACUAACUCAUGCUGAACCAUGGAGUUGGAAGUUUUGUGCUAGAGAUGUCAUCUUCUGCUAAAAACGUUUGUAUGUCCAUCAGAAUUGCCAAUGAAUUCAAUUAGUAGAUGCACUAUUUUCUUGUUAACGUCGUUAAUUUUCAUCUGCUUUUCCUUUAAAUGAAUAAAUAAUUGGACACCAUGAUAUAUCCCUUAGAAAAUUCAAUUGUAAGUGGCCGCAUGAUAUUG
rnacentral:lncRNA from 1 species